CUUCAGUUUCACAUUGACCGUACCGCAAACCGACACAGGUGGGCGAGAUGAGUAUUCUAAGGCGCUUGAGAGAACUCGGGAGAAGGAACUCGGCAAAUUGGUACCGUAACUUCGGGAUAAGGUACGCCCCUGUAGCUUGACUGGCCUGCGCCAGGAGGGUGAAGGGGUUGCAAUAAACUGGUGGCUGCGACUGUUUAAUAAAAACACAGCACUCUGCAAACACGAAAGUGGACGUAUAGGGUGUGACGCCUGCCCGGUGCCGGAAGAUUAAAUGAUGGGGUGCAAGCUCUUGAUUGAAGUCCCGGUAAACGGCGGCCGUAACAAUAACGGUCCUAAGGUAGCGAAAUUCCUUGUCGGGUAAGUUCCGACCUGCACGAAUGGCGUAACGAUGGCCACACUGUCUCCUCCCGAGACUCAGCGAAGUUGAAGUGUUUGUGAUGAUGCAAUCUCCCCGCGGCUAGACGGAGAGACCCCAUGAACCUUUACUGCAGCUUUGCAUUGGACUUUGAACCGGUCUGUGUAGGAUAGGUGGGAGGCUAUGAAGCUGGAACGCUAGUUUCAGUGGAGCCGUCCUUGAAAUACCACCCUGAUCUGUUUGAGGUUCUAACCUUUGACCCUGAAGCGGGUUCGGGGACAGUGCAUGGCAGGCAGUUUGACUGGGGCGGUCUCCUCCCAAAGUGUAACGGAGGAGUACGAAGGUACGCUAGGUACGGUCGGAAAUCGUGCUGAUAGUGCAAUGGCAUAAGCGUGCUUGACUGCGAGACUGACAAGUCGAGCAGGUGUGAAAGCAGGUCAUAGUGAUCCGGUGGUUCUGUAUGGAAGGGCCAUCGCUCAACGGAUAAAAGGUACUCUGGGGAUAACAGGCUGAUACCGCCCAAGAGUUCAUAUCGACGGCGGUGUUUGGCACCUCGAUGUCGGCUCAUCUCAUCCUGGGGCUGUAGCCGGUCCCAAGGGUAUGGCUGUUCGCCAUUUAAAGAGGUACGUGAGCUGGUUUAAAACGUCGUGAUACAGUUUGGUCCCUAUCUGCCGUGGGCGCAGGAUAUUUGAAGGGACCUGCUCCUAGUACGAGAGGACCGGAGUGGACGAACCUCUGGUGUACCGGUUGUCACGCCAGUGGCAUCGCCGGGUAGCUAUGUUCGGAAGAGAUAACCGCUGAAAGCAUCUAAGCGGGAAACUCGCCUUGAGAUGAGAUAUCCCCGGGGCUUCGAGCCCCUUGAAGGGUCGUUCAAGACCAGGACGUUGAUAGGUCAGGUGUGGAAGCGCAGUAAUGCGUUAAGCUAACUGAUACUAAUUGCCCGUAAGGCUCG
rnacentral:rRNA from 1 species